rnacentral:rRNA from 1 species
GGCACGCCUAACACAUGCAAGUCGAACGAAGUAGCAAUACUUAGUGGCAGACGGGUGAGUAACAUGUGGGUAUCUACCCUUUGGCCUGGAAUAACACGAGGAAACUUGUGCUAAUACUGGAUAAGUCUUUACGGAGAAAGCUUUAUGCACCAUUGGAUGAGCCCGCACUUGAUUAGUUUGUUGGUGGGGUAAUGGCCUACCAAGACUGUGAUCAAUAGCUGAUUUGAGAGGAUGAUCAGCCACAUUGGGACUGAGACACGGCCCAAACUCCUACGGGAGGCAGCAGUGGGGAAUCUUGCACAAUGGAGGAAACUCUGAUGCAGCGAUGCCGCGUGAGUGAAGAAGGCCCUUGGGUUGUAAAGCUCUUUCGUCGGGGAAGAAAAUGACUGUACCCGAAUAAGAAGGUCCGGCUAACUUCGUGCCAGCAGCCGCGGUAAUACGAAGGGACCUAGCGUAGUUCGGAAUUACUGGGCUUAAAGAGUUCGUAGGUGGUUGAAAAAGUUGGUGGUGAAAUCCCAGAGCUUAACUCUGGAACUGCCAUCAAAACUUUUCAGCUAGAGUAUGAUAGAGGAAAGCAGAAUUUCUAGUGUAGAGGUGAAAUUCGUAGAUAUUAGAAAGAAUACCAAUUGCGAAGGCAGCUUUCUGGAUCAUUACUGACACUGAGGAACGAAAGCAUGGGUAGCGAAGAGGAUUAGAUACCCUCGUAGUCCAUGCCGUAAACGAUGUGUGUUAGACGUUGGAAAUUUAUUUUCAGUGUCGCAGCGAAAGCGAUAAACACACCGCCUGGGG